rnacentral:rRNA from 1 species
UACGGAGGAUGCGAGCGUUAUCCGGAUUUAUUGGGUUUAAAGGGUGCGUAGGCGGAGUGCCAAGUCAGCGGUAAAAAUUCGGGGCUCAACCCCGUCGUGCCGUUGAAACUGGCGCCCUUGAGUGGGCGAGAAGUAUGCGGAAUGCGUGGUGUAGCGGUGAAAUGCAUAGAUAUCACGCAGAACCCCGAUCGCGAAGGCAGCAUACCGGCGCCCGACUGACGCUGAAGCACGAAAGCGUGGGUAUCGAACAGG